UACGUAGGGGGCGAGCGUUAUCCGGAAUUACUGGGCGUAAAGCGCACGCAGGCGGUUCGCCAAGUUUGGAGUGACAGUUGUCGGCUCAACCGACAAAGGACUUCAAAAACUGGUGAACUUGAGGACGAGAGAGGAGCAUGGAACUCCAGGUGUAGUAGUGAAAUGCGUAGAUAUCUGGAAGAACACCAAUGGCGAAGGCAAUGUUCUGGCUCGUUUCUGACGCUCAGGUGCGAAAGCCAGGGGAGCGAACGGG
rnacentral:rRNA from 1 species